CUAGCCUACGGGGCGCAGCAGUGGGGAAUAUUGCACAAUGGGGGAAACCCUGAUGCAGCAACGCCGCGUGAGUGAAGGAGUAUUUCGGUAUGUAAAGCUCUAUCAGUAGGGAAGAAGAAAGACGGUACCUGACUAAGAAGCCCCGGCUAACUACGUGCCAGCAGCCGCGGUAAUACGUAGGGGGCAAGCGUUAUCCGGAUUUACUGGGUGUAAAGGGAGCGUAGACGGCGGUGCAAGUCUGAAGUGAAAGCCCGUGGCUCAACCGCGGAACUGCUUUGGAAACUGGAUGGCUUGAGCACUGGAGG
rnacentral:rRNA from 1 species